ACGCUCGACACCUACGGGAGGGAGCAGUGAGGAAUAUUGGUCAAUGGACGCAAGUCUGAACCAGCCAUGCCGCGUGCAGGAUGACGGCUCUAUGAGUUGUAAACUGCUUUUGUACGAGGGUAAACGCAGAUACGUGUAUCUGUCUGAAAGUAUCGUACGAAUAAGGAUCGGCUAACUCCGUGCCGGCAGCCGCAGUAAUCUGAGCGGGCUGGCAAGGC
rnacentral:rRNA from 1 species